UUAGGUUUUUGGGUUCAUAAACUUUGUUCUUGUUCCCGCUCCCUCCAUCUGCUAUUUCCCGCUCACUCCAUCCAGUCCCGAGUUCUCGACAACGAAGUCGACCAUAGCAAUCCGCGAAAUCGACAUCUAGUAGUUCAACUCCACCUCCUUCCUAUUUUUCUUCCUCUUUCUGCAUAUUCAAUCCGUCGCUCAGACCCUAAACUCUAAUACCCAGAAAUCAAUCAGAUCUGUCCGGCUCUUGCAUUGUGGCCUGCAUCUUGUCUUGUGCUUUUGAGUGGGCUUCUCACUCCCCCAGAAACUCCACUUUUCCCUUCAUCAGAUGGAAGUGAAUCUCAACCAACCUUAGCUGCUGCAAGAAGCAGUGCUUUAAAUAGAUCAACUUCCUCAGCCAAGCCUUCAAGGUUAUGUCUUUCUGAAUUGACUUUAUCCAUGUUCCAUGUUAGUUUCGGGUUAGAUAUUAGAUAGACUUCUUUAAAUGAACAAUAUUUUAUGUUGUAGAGUUUGGAAAAUGUACUUAAUUAUUGUCUCGUCUUAGGUCAUGAAAAUGUUGACGUAAUGAAAAUUGCAUGGAAGUAAUUAUAGUUCUUAAUCAUCUGACAUGGUUCUACUGCAUUGAAUGAAAUUUGGGAUCUAGUACUGAUAUACAUGGUUUCGUCAUAGUUUGAUGUUUGCAGUUACAUACUGUUGGCUUAAUUCAUACUCUUGUUGUUUAAAAUCACAGUGCUGUUGCGUGGUGCAGGAAGCUGAAUGCCAUAGCUUGUGCCUCAGAAACUUGUGCAAGAAUUCCAAGAUGCGGUUCAUGAUGUGUCUUAGCAUAUGGAAGAGGUGAGCCAUGAUAUUUUUAUAGGAACUCAGCUACCAGAAACCAAUCACAUGGGCCUCUUUGCCAUUAACUUUUUUGGGACAUAUUGUACUAUAAAAGGAGAUGGCAUAACUCUUAAUUUCCCUCCAGGGGUAGUAUCUACUGAUCAAAUUACUGCAAUUCAGGAAGCUUACUGGAGUAUGGUAUCUGCCCUCUCUGAAGCUGAUGGAAUUGACUAUACUGAUCCUGAAGAGGUUCAUAUCCCCAUCUUGAGUUGUUAAUUGCAACUCUUAUAGAUCUUGAUGCCAUGGAUGGUAAAAGUAGUGUAUCCUUGUUGGCAGAGUGUUCUAGUUCCCCUGAUAUCAAUACUAGGCAAGCAUUAGCCAAUGCUUUGGCUGCAGCUCCAUCUAUGUGGAUGUUGGGUAAUGCAGGAAUGGGAGCCUUGUAGGCCUAUCAAUAAUCUUUCCCAUAGUGAUGUCAAAUAACAAAUAUCUACUGUGUUUUUCCAUAAUGAUGUCAGAAACUCAUGUCUAUCAAAGAUGCGGUUCAUGAUGUGUCUUAGCAUAUGGAAGAGCUUUUUGGUCUCUAAUGCCUCCUGAUCAAGGUAGAAUAUAUGCCCCAGUUGAGCUUUCGUCUUCUUUGUCAUUUAGGUUCUUUGCAUUAUAAUCUCUGUGUUCGUUCUGUGGCAUUUGUCUUCCUCUUACCAUAAGCUCUAUCUACUGUGUUUUGAUUCCAGGUUCAAGAUGCAUCCAGUGGCCAUGAAAUUAGAAGGGAGUCCAUAGGAGAAGGAGUUCAUCCAGAUUCAACUAGUGAUCAAGAAAUUGAGCACGCACCAGUACUCACCAAGCCCUCUAGUUAAUGAUAAAUAGUAUUGUGGUCAAGUCUGCUUUUGAACAAUAUUAAGUUUGGGAAUGUUUCUUCCAGAGUUUCAGUUAUCUAGUAUGGUAGAUUCUUAGUAGAUUCUUAUAAUUAUGAAAGACUCUGGUUUGUUUGGUUAAUUUCAAUUUGUACUUGGUAAUGAAAUAUAACUUGGCACUUAUCAAUUGUG